UACGUAGGGGGGCGAGCGUUUGUCCGGAUUCAUUGGGCGUAAAGAGCUCGUAGGCGGUUCAGUAAGUCGGGUGUGAAAUCUCCGUGCUCAACACGGAGCGGCCACCUGAUACUGCUGUGACUCGAGUCCGGUAGGGGAGUGUGGAAUUCCCGGUGUAGCGGUGAAAUGCGCAGAUAUCGGGAGGAACACCAGUGGCGAAGGCGGCUCACUGGCCCGGUACUGACGCUGAGGUGCGAAAGCGUGGGGAGCAAACAGG
rnacentral:rRNA from 1 species